GAUGAACGCUAGCGAUAGGCUUAACACACGCAAGUCGAGGGGCAGCAUGGUCUUAGCUUGCUAAGGCUGAUGGCGACCGGCGCACGGGUGCGUAACGCGUAUGCAACUUGCCUCACAGAGGGGGAUAACCCGUCGAAAGACGGACUAAUACCGCGUACACUCUAUGUUGGGCAUCCAAUGUAGAGGAAAUGAAAUUCGCUGUGAGAUAGGCAUGCGUCCCAUUAGCUAGUUGGUGAGGUAACGGCUCACCAAGGCGACGAUGGGUAGGGGAACUGAGAGGUUGAACCCCCACACUGGUACUGAGACACGGACCAGACUCCUACGGGAGGCAGCAGUGAGGAAUAUUGGUCAAUGGGCGAGAGCCUGAACCAGCCAAGUCGCGUGAAGGAUGACUGUCUUAUGGAUUGUAAACUUCUUUUAUACGGGAAUAACAAGAGUCACGUGUGGCUCCCUGCAUGUACCGUAUGAAUAAGCAUCGGCUAACUCCGUG
rnacentral:rRNA from 1 species